GACGAACGCUGGCGGCGUGCUUAACACAUGCGAGUCGAACGGAAAGGCCCUGCUUUUGUGGGGUGCUCGAGUGGCGAACGGGUGAGUAACACGUGAGUAACCUGCCCUUGACUUUGGGAUAACUUCAGGAAACUGGGGCUAAUACCGGAUAGGAGCUCCUGCUGCAUGGUGGGGGUUGGAAAGUUUCGGCGGUUGGGGAUGGACUCGCGGCUUAUCAGCUUGUUGGUGGGGUAGUGGCUUACCAAGGCUUUGACGGGUAGCCGGCCUGAGAGGGUGACCGGCCACAUUGGGACUGAGAUACGGCCCAGACUCCUACGGGAGGCAGCAGUGGGGAAUAUUGCACAAUGGGCUGAAGCCUGAUGCAGCAACGCCGCGUGCGGGAUGACGGCCUUCGGGUUGUAAACCGCUUUCGCCUGUGACGAAGCGUGAGUGACGGUAAUGGGUAAAGAAGCACCGGCUAACUACGUG
rnacentral:rRNA from 1 species